UAAAGUAAGUCAAUCAAGUGAAUACCAGUUCUCAUUUUAUCUCACGAUAUUCACGCACGGGUGCAAUGCAUUUCGGGAAGAAGAAAGAAAAGUCCGCGCUUUUUUUCAAAUUCAACGGUCUCACUUGCAACUUCCAGAGAAACAGAGACGUGCAUCAUGUAAGCUACAGACAGAAUAGGCUACAAUAAUAAUUCUACAAGUUAGAGGUUUGUUGCAGCAAAACUGAAAUUGGUGAUUUUUGGAACAACAAGGUUUUGAUGGACACUAAACUCACACUCUGUACAUGUCAUGUGGAGUCAGCUCUUUCACUGUGGGCUCAAGUUUGUGUGUGACGAAUGAUGCAGAAAAUGCUAUGAAUGUGGCAUUGUAAAGCCUGCCCCUCAGUUUUACCAAGAAAUGACUGAGACCCAUUUCUU